rnacentral:rRNA from 1 species
CCUACGGGAGGCUGCAGUGAGGAAUAUUGGUCAAUGGACGAGAGUCUGAACCAGCCAAGUAGCGUGAAGGAUGACUGCCCUAUGGGUUGUAAACUUCUUUUAUAUGGGAAUAAAAUGUUACACGUGUGGGAUUUUGUAUGUACCAUAUGAAUAAGGAUCGGCUAACUCCGUGCCAGCAGCCGCGGUAAUACGGGGGAUCCGAGCGUUAUCCGGAUUUAUUGGGUUUAAAGGGAGCGUAGGUGGAUUGUUAAGUCAGUUGUGAAAGUUUGCGGCUCAACCGUAAAAUUGCAGUUGAAACUGGCAGUCUUGAGUACAGUAGAGGUGGGCGGAAUUCGUGGUGUAGCGGUGAAAUGCUUAGAUAUCACGAAGAACUCCGAGUGCGAAGGCAGUUCACUGGACUGCAACUGACACUGAGGCUCGAAAGUGUGGGUAUCAAACAGGAUUAGAUACCCGUGUAGUC